CAAUCGGCCCUUUUGAGGGCCAUCAAACGUUCUUUCUGCAUCGUUG
rfam:Aedes aegypti strain Liverpool supercont1.363 genomic scaffold, whole genome shotgun sequence.